rnacentral:antisense_RNA from 1 species
CUUAAUGGUAGCUGUGCGCAUGGCGUCCUCGGACGCGCCGGUUUUGGAUUGGUGGCCGGUCUACUAACUUGCGCACAGCUGCCACCCUU